rnacentral:tRNA from 1 species
AAGCGAGAAGCAAAUAUUGCAAUCAGUUUCGACCUGAUCUUAAGAUAAACCCUUUUAUCCCCGCUUU